AGCAAAAUAGUUCUAAGCUUCAGUUAAACUUCUUUAGCAUUGAUAUGAACCAUGGACAAGUAUAUUCUGCUGCUACAAAGACUAAAGUGCUUCAUUUCAACAGCUGAGGCAAGCCAAGUGAUCAUUAAUAAAGGUUUUCUUGCUUCCUUCAGUGGUGUUGGUAGUAAAUGGAAGGUGUCUUGCUGCAGGUAACUAAUGAAGAAGUGGUCAACCACAGAAUCUUCAAGAAAUAAGAAAUUCUGUACCAUCUGAAAGUAGUUCUUGUUGGUGCCUUCAU